GACGAACGCUGGCGGCGUGCUUAACACAUGCAAGUCGAACGGUAAGGCCCUUCGGGGUACACGAGUGGCGAACGGGUGAGUAACACGUGGGUGAUCUGCCCUGCACUUCGGGAUAAGCCUGGGAAACUGGGUCUAAUACCGGAUAGGACUCCGGACUGCAUGGUCUGGGGUGGAAAGCUUUUGCGGUGUGGGAUGGGCCCGCGGCCUAUCAGCAUGUUGGUGGGGUGAUGGCCUACCAAGGCGACGACGGGUAGCCGGCCUGAGAGGGUGACCGGCCACACUGGGACUGGGGUACGGCCCAGACUCCUACGGGAGGCAGCAGUGGGGAAUAUUGCACAAUGGGCGCAAGCCUGAUGCAGCGACGCCGCGUGAGGGAUGACGGCCUUCGGGUUGUAAACCUCUUUCAGUAGGGACGAAGCGCAAGUGACGGUACCUACAGAAGAAGGACCGGCCAACUACGUGCCAGCAGCCGCCGUAA
rnacentral:rRNA from 1 species